GGGCCUAUAGCUCAGUUGGUUAGAGCACCUGACUCAUAAUCAGGUGGUCCNNGUCCUUGGUUCAAGCCCAAGUGGGCCCACUA
rnacentral:tRNA from 1 species